rnacentral:lncRNA from 1 species
AUUAUUAUUUUUGCAACUCGUGCAAGUUAGUUAUUUUAAGUUGUGUUGUAUUUGCUCCUUUUAAAUUAUUCCUUUAAAGCAAUUUUGUGUGAAGCUGUGAUUACUUUGAAGUGGAUUUCCUUCAUAAUAAACAAAUGAAAGAUUAGAUAAGACACAGCACUACUUCGAUGUAAUCUCCUCAAGAAUGAACGAAUACAAAUAAAUAGUCAUGAAAUUCUGUUUAUUUUGAUUGUAUUAAGAAAAGAAACAAAAAUCAACAUUGUAACUCUGACAAUUAAAAUAAUGUUUUGAGGAAAGCAACUCAUGAGGCUCUCAUGUAGUUUUAUUAGAUCAACUACUCUCAGCUGACUGAGACAAGAGAGGAAGAGAAGAAGGAAAUAAAUAAAAACGUAGAAUAAAUCCUGAUUCAAUCGCCCGAUUUGGAAAAACUACACCAAUUUCCAAUUCUAGUAUGAUACCAAUCUGUCAACCUCAAUUUAGAUUCUCUAGCAUAAUUAUCUAUGGAGUUAUUUGCGUCCUUGGACGGUGGCCCGGCAUGGAAACACAUAAUAAUGGGCGUGAGGCGUUUAUAUUUGGAGGACAUCUAAAGGAUUUUGUAUAUUUUCUGAUAAAGUUUUGCCAGUUGAAUCUAAUAAAGACACUGUUUUAAAUAUAGAUCUCAAAAUUGCCAAGACAUUGAGGUUUAAACUUUAAAAAAAAUGAAAAAAAAUCUAAAAUGUUUCAACCCCGGUUCUUAGGACAGUAUUUAAAACAAACAAGGAGAAAUUUGUCAUUCA